AGUGAACGCUGGCGGUAGGCCUAACACAUGCAAGUCGAACGGCAGCACAGUAAGAGCUUGCUCUUACGGGUGGCGAGUGGCGGACGGGUGAGGAAUACAUCGGAAUCUACUUUUUCGUGGGGGAUAACGUAGGGAAACUUACGCUAAUACCGCAUACGACCUACGGGUGAAAGCAGGGGAUCUUCGGACCUUGCGCGAUUGAAUGAGCCGAUGUCGGAUUAGCUAGUUGGCGGGGUAAAGGCCCACCAAGGCGACGAUCCGUAGCUGGUCUGAGAGGAUGAUCAGCCACACUGGAACUGAGACACGGUCCAGACUCCUACGGGGGGCAGCAGUGGGGAAUAUUGGACAAUGGGCGCGAGCCUGAUCCAGCCAUACCGCGUGGGUGAAGAAGGCCUUCGGGUUGUAAAGCCCUUUUGUUGGGAAAGAAAAGCAGCAGGUUAAUACCCCGCUGUUCUGACGGUACCCAAAGAAUAAGCACCGGCUAACUUCGUG
rnacentral:rRNA from 1 species